AAAAUACUGCAAACACAUAACUUUAUUUGUCAAAGAAACAUUAAAAAAUAAAGAAAUGAAUGAAAAUUAACAAAAAUGUGAAAUAUUCAACACAAGCAGACUUUCUUUUCCCUCUGACGGUACAGUGGUACAGUGAUUGGCCGCCUGCUGAAUGAAAGGCCUCGAGCUUCUUGAGUCAGUUUGAUGGUUCCAGCAGCAGAGGGCAGCAGCAGCAGCCGGUCCCUUCAGCACCGAUAACUCAAGAACAACACAUGCAGGUAAAUGAAAGUGAAUUACAAUAAUGCUUUAAAUAUGUGUUUGUAACUUUUAUGUCUGAAACCAAACAAAUGUGUGUUCUGUAUGUUUGAAAAUUAACUUUUGAUCAAUUUGAAGAAUAUAUUUAGUGUACGAUGCAGGCAGCACUGUGAGCGCAGACGCCUGAGCAGCUCAUUGGGUCACCAUAGACCCUGGCUUUACCUGACCGCAGUGGCAGGAAGGCCGUGUGGAUCCCUGCAGUCACACCUUCAGGAAUGUUAAAGCACUUUGUUUAUGUGGAGUUCUCACACACAGACUUCUGUCUCCACUGAUGCCUGAUUUCAAUCAAUAAAAGUUGUUGACCUUUAAAGUUGGACUCCUCCCCUUCCUCCAGUGUUGCUUUGCACACACCCUGACCUGCACACCUGAAUACAGGUGUGAAGUUCUGAAAAUAGCUCACUUCCUGUUCCUGAAAACCACAACCUCGCUGUCACUCCGUCGCCAUGGUGACGCCCACGAAAGAGCCAGUCCGGGACAGAGGGGGCAAAAACGCUCUAAGCUGAGUCUUCUUCAGACAAUCAUCACAGCAGAGCUUCACGUCCUCAUGGGUUCAGUGAUCUAAACUCUUUCUGCGGGCUGCUGUCGGGCACUGGAGGGGGAUGAAGACCUUGGUGACAGAGAGUAGACGGCUCUGUUCACAUUCCUGACCUGAUGUUUUGACUGUGAGGGAUGGCGGCUGAUGUUCUCAGGCCUUAAGCGCUUCGUUUCUGUUGUGUUUUCACUUGUUCUCUCUUUUCUUCAAGUCUGUCUGAAGCAAAACUCCAGUUUUAAACUUUGGUCUCAUUUAAAACGAGCCCCAUGCGUGAGUUUGGAAGGCUUGUAAACAGAAGAAAUUAAAAAAAUAAAUAAAAAA